UACGUAGGUGGCAAGCGUUGUCCGGAUUUACUGGGCGUAAAGAGCGCGCAGGCGGUCGUUCAAGUCGCGUGUGAAAGCCCCCGGCUCAACUGGGGAGGGUCACGCGAUACUGAUCGACUCGAAGGCAGGAGAGGGUAGUGGAAUUCCCGGUGUAGUGGUGAAAUGCGUAGAUAUCGGGAGGAACACCAGUGGCGAAGGCGACUACCUGGCCUGUUCUUGACGCUGAGGCGCGAAAGCUGGGGGAGCAAACAGG
rnacentral:rRNA from 1 species